GAUGAACGCUGGCGGCGUGCCUAAUACAUGCAAGUCGAGCGAACGGACGAGAAGCUUGCUUCUCUGAUGUUAGCGGCGGACGGGUGAGUAACACGUGGAUAACCUACCUAUAAGACUGGGAUAACUUCGGGAAACCGGAGCUAAUACCGGAUAAUAUUUUGAACCGCAUGGUUCAAAAGUGAAAGACGGUCUUGCUGUCACUUAUAGAUGGAUCCGCGCUGCAUUAGCUAGUUGGUAAGGUAACGGCUUACCAAGGCAACGAUGCAUAGCCGACCUGAGAGGGUGAUUGGCCACACUGGAACUGAGACACGGUCCCGACUCCUACGGGAGGCAGCCGUAGGGAAUCUUCCGCAAUGGGCGAAGGCCUGACGGAGCAACGCCGCGUGAGUGAUGAAGGUCUUCGGAUCGUAAAACUCUGUUAUUAGGGAAGAACAUAUGUGUAAGUAACUGGGCACAUCUUGACGGUACCUAAUCAGAAAGCCACGGCUAACUACGUG
rnacentral:rRNA from 1 species